rnacentral:rRNA from 1 species
UACGAAGGGGGCUAGCGUUGUUCGGAAUUACUGGCGUAAAGCGCACGUAGGCGGAUACUUAAGUCAGGGGUGAAAUCCCGGGGCUCAACCCCGGAACUGCCUUUGAUACUGGGUAUCUCGAGUCCGGAAGAGGUGAGUGGAAUUCCGAGUGUAGAGGUGAAAUUCGUAGAUAUUCGGAGGAAACACCAGUGGCGAAGGGCGGC